CAAGGGGCAGGACGUGAAGUGGUUGCACACUUGGGUCAAGCGAGCGAAAUGGUUGCAAACUUACAAAAUGGCGGAUAUUUUCUGAAAUCAUCGCGUGUUCGCUUGUUUUUUUUAUCAGAUCUUUUCAGGUCUAGAUGCUAUGAACAUCAGACGCUAUUAUGACCCGAGAGUAUGAACAUGAAUCUUCAUUAGUUGAACAAACUACGCUAACACGUAUAUCAGAAAUAACCGUUAGAGACCACGAGUUUAACCGAAGGAAAGGAAGCAUACCAAAGUAUGGAACAUUAAGAAAAUUGAAUGAUAUAUCAAGAGGUGUUCGACCAGUUAAGUCACAUUACAGAGUUGACGAGUCCACUAAGACUAUAUUUUGAGCAACCUCACAAAUUAAAAUACAGCGCAACAGUUCCGCUGUAUACAGUUGAUUGAAAUUGAUAAACUAUAACAAGAAAAUGUUCGGCUGCGAUUAAAUCCGUCUUCUCUGAAAAUGAACAAACAUAAUUAUGAUGUUUUCUGUUGAUUGCCACCACAAAUUUAAAUGCCAACUCUACU